rnacentral:rRNA from 1 species
AUUGAACGCUGGCGGAAUGCUUUACACAUGCAAGUCGAGCGGCAGCGCGGGGCAACCUGGCGGCGAGCGGCGAACGGGUGAGUAAUACAUCGGAACGUGCCCAGACGUGGGGGAUAACUACUCGAAGAGUGGCUAAUACCGCAUACGAUCUACGGAUGAAAGCGGGGGGAUCGCAAGACCUCGCGCGUCUGGAGCGGCUGAUGGCAGAUUAGGUAGUUGGUGGGAUAAAAGACCUACCAAGCCAACGAUCUGUAGCUGGUCUGAGAGGAUGAUCAGCCACACUGGGACUGAGACACGGCCCAGACUCCUACGGGAGGCAGCAGUGGGGAAUUUUGGACAAUGGGCGAAAGCCUGAUCCAGCCAUUCCGCGUGCAGGAUGAAGGCCCUCGGGUUGUAAACUGCUUUUGUACAGAACGAAAAAGACUCUGGCUAAUACCUGGAGUCCAUGACGGU